AGCCCUGAGGUGUUGCACAUAUUAGAUUGCAAAUCUUAAGUUGCAGAGUGAGAUCUGCCGGGGCUU
rnacentral:tRNA from 1 species